GUGCUGGGUUGUCCCAGACAUGUUCCUGCAAUCUCUCUGUGGCAGAGGUUCAGAGAUUGUGGCUAUGUGCUGGCACCUCAGAAAAAGUGUGUGCGAUUGCUCAGAGGCAGUAGUUCAUGGGUUAUGGAAAAUCACAACACACAACUGGCACCAGGUGUCACCACACCCUGGUGUCUUUGUUCCAAUACCAGCAAACAUGGCUGCUCUCUGGGGUCCCCUGGGACCUUUGUUUGUGGGGUGGCCAAAUGGACUCUACCAAAUGCCCUCCUAGCAGGGGAAUUGCUUCUUCGCAUGUGACCUACAGACCCCUCAGACCUCGCUGCCUGCUCCUGUAGAUUCACCCUUCCUCCCCACCAGAGCACUGCCAGGGAAAGAUCCUUAUUUGAAGGGGAAAGGGGGAAUUCUGGGACAGAUUCAUUUGACUGAGGGCUGAGAAUCAGCUUAAAAGCCUGGCCUGAGGCAUACUUCUCCAGUUCUUUCACGGGGAUAUCAGAAGAAGCCAUGG